rnacentral:rRNA from 1 species
UACGGAGGGGGCUAGCGUUGUUCGGAAUUACUGGGCGUAAAGGGCGCGUAGGUGGCGCUCCAAGUCCGUGGUGAAAGCUCGAUGCUCAACAUCGAGUCGGCCACGGAGACUGGAGGGCUCGAGCACUGUAGGGGCAGAUGGAAUUCCGGGUGUAGCGGUGGAAUGCGUAGAGAUCCGGAAGAACACCGGUGGCGAAGGCGGUCUGCUGGGCAGUUGCUGACACUGAGGCGCGACAGCGUGGGGAGCAAACAGG